rnacentral:rRNA from 1 species
UACGUAGGCAGCAAGCGUUGUUCGGAAUUACUGGGCGUAAAGAGUGUGUAGGCGGUGUUCUAAGUUUGUCGUGAAAUCUCCCGGCUUAACUGGGAGGGUGCGGCGAAAACUGGAAUGCUAGAGGAUGGGAGAGGUAAGCGGAAUUCCUGGUGUAGCGGUGAAAUGCGUAGAUAUCAGGAGGAACACCUGUGGUGUAGACAGCUUACUGGACCAUUUCUGACGCUGAGACACGAAAGCGUGGGGAGCGAACAGG